CCGAGGCGCCAGCUGCAGUUUGAGAUAGCAGACUGGGGAGACAGCAAUACUAAUGUGUUGAAAAUGGAUGAGGGGAAAACUGUCCCGGAUUUUCAGGUGGCUCAUACAAAUGAGGGUAAGGAGGACGUCUUGUAGCAGCAGCAGUGACCAAAAUGAGGGUGAAAGCGGUCUACCAUAGAGUGGAAUAGCUAUAUAAUUCCUGACCUCAUACCAACACUAUAUAGAGGAGAAAGUAGGACAACUUUAGAAGUUUAUGAGAUGACAUGAAAAUGAGACAUGAAAACAACCCAGCUUCCUGAGGCCUCACUGGAAGCUGAGCAGAUGCUGGUGCCAUGCUUGUACAGUCUGCAGAACCAUGAGCCAACUACCCAGUCUCAGAUAAUCAUGGAUAUGCAGAUAAUCAUGGGAGCCAGCCACCCUCCUGAGUGCCCCUAAAUAGGUUGAGAGGAGCUGGGGGCAACACAUCAGACCAUUUAUCUUUCAUCAGAACACCAUGUCAUGGCUAUGAUGCCACUCUGUCCUGCACAAUUUCCAUGAGGUUGUACACGAAGCAUGGUGGUGGCAUCUGCUCAGCUUCUGAGGAGGCCUCAGGAAACUUACAAUCCUGGCAGAAGGUGAAGAGGAAGCAGGCUUGCCUUACAUGGCCAGAAUAGGACAGAGAGAAAGCGGGGAGGUGCCACACACCUUUAAACAACCAGAUCCCGGGAGAACUCACUAUCCUGAUGACAGCACCAAAGCGGAUGUUGUUAAACCAUGAGAAACCGCACCCCAGGAUCCAAUCACCUCCCACCAAGCCCCACCUCCAACACUGAGGAUUAAAUUAAACAUAAGAUUUGAGUGGGGACGGAGAUCCAAAACACAUCAGGGCUUGUUUAGCUUCAUACGCUGUGAGAGGCCCUGGACACUUGCUUUCAUGCUUUCUCACUGCUCUUGAAAGAGCAGGAGCCCAGGGCUGGUCCAACCUCACAAUCUCCCAUGCAUCCCAGCUGUACCAGUCAUCCCCAUCUUCUCAGUGGGCAUGUAAGAGAGCCUCCCUCCAGGGGCAUCCACUCAGUUCUUUCCUCUCUUACACGGCCCCUCACUUUUUCAAAGUACACUGUCUCUACCAAUGAACCCUGUAUUUAUUCAUUGAAAUCCUCCUCUCCUGCAUAGCGAGCAUGAAAAUGUAGAUAAAGCUCAAAAGACAUGGGAAGGGCUUUAUACCUACAUCAGAAUACAUUUUUACUAAUUUAUCCAC